GGCGGACGCUCUAACUGCUCGUCGGGCUCCGACGCCGCGAGUUUGUGUACCUCCCUCUCUCCAUGUUUCGGAGGACGCUUUCUCGAGCUUCACCUCUCCUCUCCAAUGGAUUCAUGCGAGAAGGAAGAGACCCUCGCUGCAGCGCUGCUUCACUUCCUUUCUCAUUCGCUCCUUCUUCCUCGUUCUCUGACACUUCAAACCCUCCUGUGUUGCCGGAAGAAGAGAGCCGAGAUAACUCCGAAAAUAUCUAACCGGCGGCCUCAAUAUCAGUCGACCGCUCGGGGUUAUACAGUCCUCCAGAGCAUCUACACGAGUCAUCUACGGAUUCCAAUCUUGUUAAGCAUCUAAAGAGUAUUAUAAAGUUCCGUACAUGGAUGCCCUAUUUCUGUUGCUGAGUACAUGGAAGAAGUUUUAACUAAUCCACAAUCAGGUUUUUGCAUCAAUAGAGAUGCUUUUGGAGCUGGGGGUGACUUUAUUACUUCCCCUGCUGUCAGUCAGAUGUUUGGGGAGAAGUAUUUUGUUUCUGCUGAUGGUGGGUGUUUGGACUGUGUAUUUGGGAGCAGAUGGGUCAACCUGGAAUUGUGAAUCUUGUUGAACUGGGCCAGGACAGGGGACCCUAGUUAUGGCCGAUCUUCUGUGUGUAAGAAAGGAUCUUCAAAGUUUUCAAAUUUUACUAAAGCUCUUAACAUUCACAUGGUGGAUUGCAGUCCUGUCUUACAGGAGGUCCAAUACAAUGCUUUGAAGUGCACGGAUGAAACAACUAAUGACGACAACAGCUCCAAAAGAACGAUCACUAUGUGUCUGGCAGUCCAAUUUCAUGGCAUCCCACUCUGGAACAGGUUCCAUCAAGAUGUAUGAUACUGACUGACUUCAGAUUAAUUAGUGCACAAUAUUGAAUUUUACGUGCUGCAAUUUUCAUUGUUACUUUGAGCUGUGGUUAUUCAAAGACACAAUCAAUCUACAUGAUGUUUAAAUCAUUUUUUUUUUGUAGCAGCAACCUAUUACAUUUACAAGCUACCUCUUCAAAUCUCCUCUUGAAUUGUUUGUACUGAUGCAUGCUAUAUGGUAGAAAAAUGUUGCGAACUUCAUUGUACAUAUAGUGUUGCUUUUUCUCAGCUCAAUCUCCCUUUCUUGUUCAGUUAUAUCACUUAUCACACUAGUCACAUCAUUGAAUUUUAUAUCUGUUUACCGUAGAACCCUGGAUAUGUGAUCCACUGGUUGUUGAUCCAUGCAGCCACUCAAAAUAUCCUGCAUGGGGCCACUGUUUAUCCAUAUUUUCUCAGAGAGCCAUAUAGACAAAUGGAGGGCAAAAAAAAAACUUCAAAAGUCAAAGAACAUGGUUCUAUAAUUGCUUGGGGCAUCACGAGUUUCUUCAUUUCCUUGACUGAAUUUGAUUUUCCUUAGCUGAUCCUAGUUCAUACACUUUGUAAUUUGAUUUACCUACCUUAUAACAACUUGUAUAAUCUUCCUUUCCAUUAAUUCUUGAACUAGUUAGUGCAGUAUGUGUGCUUUGCAGCAGAUUCAAAACUCCUCAGUGCUGUAACAUUGGUUGGCUUUUCUACCUCCUAUUUUUGUAAUCUUCUUUUGUUGGUUUUGUCUAAUUCUUUUAGGGAAGAAAUCCAAGAUAUGAUGGACUUAUCUCUGACAGUCUGCAGGUCAAAUUUUCUGAUUUUGAAACUGAAAGUAGUUGGCACAUAGACUUGAUUGUUUAGUUGUUUUAAUUGAAUAUCAAAUUCUUGAAUCUGUUUACUUUUGUCGCCUAUGCAGGCAAUUCGUAAGCACGAAUUUGUGGACGUAUUAGAUGAUCCCGGUUCAGCUGAUCUAAGUGCUCAUGUUGAUUUUGAAUCGAUAAGGCACUCUGCCAAGGGAGUAUCAGCUGAUCUAAGUGCUCAUUUUGAUUUAAGAAUAUUUUAAUAUAUUUUUUAUUUUAAAAAAUAUUCAAUGUAAUUGUAAUAG